UACGAAGGGGGCUAGCGUUGCUCGGAAUCACUGGGCGUAAAGGGUGUGUAGGCGGGUCUUUAAGUCAGGGGCGAAAUCCUGGAGCUCAACUCCAGAACUGCCUUUGAUACUGAAGAUCUUGAGUUCGGGAGAGGUGAGUGGAACUGCGAGUGUAGAGGUGAAAUUCGUAGAUAUUCGCAAGAACACCAGUGGCGAAGGCGGCUCACUGGCCCGAUACUGACGCUGAGGCACGAAAGCGUGGGGAGCAAACAGG
rnacentral:rRNA from 1 species